UUGUCCGGGAAUGUGGAUGCAGUAGUCAUGCAGUGGAUGCAGUGUCCCACAAGGUGGAUGCAGUAUAUUGUGACGGAGGAUGCAGGGCCCAUGAAGGAGGAUGCAGUGAUCCUGCAGUGGUUACAGUGCACCCUGCUGUGUCGAUGAAUGUGGAUGCUGUGAACAUGCAGUGGAUGCAGUGAUCCUGCAGUGAUUGCAGUGCACCUGCAUUUCCACAUCACCUGGAAGCAGUGUUCCUGCAGGGGUUGCAGUGCCACCUUCUCUGUCCCUGAAGGUGAAUGCAGUGCCCAUGCAGUGGAUACAGUGUACCUAAAGUUUUAUGCAGUAUGUUGUGACGGAGGAUGCAGUGACCAUGAAGGUUGAUGCAGUGUCCCUACUCUGGAUGCAGUGCCCAUGGCAUUUUCCUGGAUUUUGCAUGCAGUGGUCAAGCAGUGUAUGCAGUGUCUCACACAGUGGAUGCAGUAUGUUUUGUUGGAGGCUGUAGUGCCCAUGAAGGUGGAAGCGGUGAACCUGCAGUGGGUGCAGUGUCCACAACAGUUUCCUUGAAUGUAUAUGCAGUGCCCACGAAGGUGGAUGCAGUGAGCCUGCAUUGAUUGCAGUGCACCUGCAGUGUCAAUUUAUCUGGAUGCAGUGUCCCUAAUGUGGAUUCAGUGCUCAUGCAGUGAUGAUGUAUGUUGUGAUGGAGGAUGCAGUGCCAGUGAAGGCAGAUGCAGUGAUCCAGCAGUGAUUGCAGUGCAUCUGCAGAGCUUCUUCAGGUGGAUCCAGUGUCCCUGCAGUGGUUGCCAUGCCUGUUGCACUGUCCCUGAAUGUGGCUGCAGUGCCCAUGCAAUGGCUGCAGUGUCACUGAAGGUAUAUGAAGUAUGUUGUGUUGGAGGAAGCAGUGUCCAUGAAGGUGGAU
rnacentral:lncRNA from 1 species